AUGUUUAGAAAUUAAUAGGGGUAUAAAAAAUAAUUUUUACAUAAAAAAUUUUUAUUAAUAAUUUAAGAAAAAUAUAUUUAUAUGAAAUAACCGUGAGGGAUUUAAUUAAUUUUUUUUAAAGCUUAGUUUAAUAUUUAGUACCUUUUGUAUCAGGGGAUUUUUAAAGCUUUUAUUUUUUAUUAAAUUUCCCGAAAAAAAAUGAGCUAUAAAUAUUAUAUAAAUUAUUUUAGCUGUUGCAUAAGUUAAAAUAAAAUAUUUAUAGGGGUGAGAUAUUAACGUAUUUUUUGUUAUCUGGUUUUCUUAAAAAUUACUUUAGGUAAGUAUUUAAUAUAAAAAUAUUUAAAUAAAUAGAUUAUUAGGGAUAAGCUUAAUAUUUUAUUUUUCUAUAUUUUUUUAAUAGUAAAUUUUAUUAAGGCUUUAGAGUAGCUUGUUGUUUAAUAACAUAUAGAUAUUAUAAUUAAUUAGUUCUUUAUGGGAGGAUUUAAAAAAAUUUUUAUUUUUAAAAAUAAUGAGAUUAUUAGUAGAAAUAAAUGUUAGAAAAUUAUAGUAAAAUUUUAUUAAUCUAAUAAAUUUGUACUAGCUAUUUAAAAGGAAUUCAGCAAAAAAUUUUUUCGACUGUUUAUCAAAAACAUUUCUUUAAGUAAAUUUUUAAAGUAAUCCCUGCUCCAUGAUUAAAUAUUAAUUUAAUAGCCGCAGUAUUUUGACUGUGCAAAGGUAGCAUAAUCAUUUGGUUUUUAAAUGGAAUCUUGUAUGAAAGGGAAAACGAAAAAAAACUGUCUUUUAAAUAUAUUUUGAAAUUGAGUUUCUUGUAAAAAUUCAAGAAUUAUAUUAGGGGACGAUAAGACCCUAUAAAGCUUUAUUUUAAGUAUUAAAUUUUAUUUAAACAUUAUUUAUUUAAUUUUUAAAAUUUUACUGGGGCGGUAGCUUAAUUAAAAACUAAGUAAAAUUUAAAAAUAUUGAUCCAUUAAUAGUGAUAAUUUGAUUAAGUUACUUUAGGGAUAACAGCAUAAUUCAUUUAGGGAGUCCAAAUCGAAAAAUGAUAUUAUGACCUCGAUGUUGAAUUAAAAUUUCUUUAGGGUGAAGAAGCUCUAAAAGAUGGUCUGUUCGACUAUUAAAUUUUUACAUGAUUUGAGUUCAAACCGGUGUGAGCCAGGUUGGUUUCUAUCUCUAAUAUUUAAUAUAUUUAUUUAGUACGAAAGGACCAGUAAAUAAAAAAUUUUUUAUUAAAAAUUUUGCUAUAUUUUAAUUAAAUAAUAACUUUGUUU
rnacentral:rRNA from 1 species